CUGAACUUUGCGCAUGCGUGGCACAUGACCUUCCGCCAUAAACAAGAUGAAACUCAAAUCCUUCGCUUCGUCGCAUUUAGGGCAGAUGUGUGAUACAGAAGCCUAGCUGGGACUACGUUCUACAUAUUCAUUUCAUAAGCAAAGAAGGCAUACAUCACAUGACAUGAUCACGUGACAACAUUGAACAGUCUUAAACAGCUAGUAUGAAGGGACCCCAGUGUGUGGUCAAUGAUUGGAAUCUGACAGCUGACUGGAACAAACAUUUAAUCUUCAGGUGAAAAAGAGAUGAAAACAUGUCUAUCAAUCAGAGUCAGCAUUUGAAAUGGAAACACUGUCCAGAUAAAAGUUGAAGCUGGCUUGAGGGUACAGAGAUAGAAUGGGAUAUUAAACAUGAAGUAAGAAGAAGAUGAUUUUAUACAACAGAGGUAGGAAGCAAAUCUUGAAUGUGAUUAUAAACAUCAGAAGUAGAAGUCGAAGCUGGCAUGAAAUAUUAUACAACGUUACUUGAAGUCGGGCUGGCAAAUGGAGAAGAGAUGGCAUGUGAUAUUAUACAACUAUACAGUUACUUGAAGUCGGGCUGGCAAGUGGAGAAGAGAUGGCAUGUGAUAUUAUACAACUAUACAGUUACUUGAAGUCGGGCUGGCAAAUGGAGAAGAGAUGGCAUGUGAUAUUAUACAACUAUACAGUAACUUGAAGUCGGGCUGGCAAAUGGAGAAGAGAUGGCAUGUGAUAUUAUAUAACUAUACAGUUACUUGAAUUCUGGCUGGCAAAUGGAGAAGAGAUGGCAUGUGAUAUUAUACCACAAUACAGUUACUUGAAGUUUUUUAAAUUUUGAUGAUACCAUUAUGAAAAAAAGCAUUUAAAGUAUCACACAACAAUCUUUCUAUGAUGAAAACACCAGCUGGUUCCUGAAACAGUAUGAUAAAUUACCAACGAUCAAGGCUAUGCAGAAUCAUCCAUGGCUGAGGAUGGAAGCGAUAUUUUCAGCAAGCUGAACUGAGAAGCAGUAAAUAUUGCUGAUGUAUUAACUGUGUAAUUGUGUGUUCCUGUAAACCUGAGGCUCCAACGACACUGGAAUUAGGACACAACAAAGAUGAUCAGUUUGCAGACAGGAGGGAAGUUUUCUUUUAUAUUGUUGGAGGGUUGAAAGUUAGUAGGUUGCUUUUACUUCUCUAUUUAAUGACACUACGAAAAUAAGAACCUGUUCUUUCACACCUCCACCCUAUUGAUUUAGAUCCAUUAUACAGAUCUCAGUUUUAUCUUUACAGUGAUUCAUUUUCAAAUCUGCUGCAGUGCAUCCCUCCCAUAUUUCGCAUCCAUAUGUCUAGCAAAAAAGUUUCAAGCAUUACUUUGUACACAAAUUACUAAGUUAACAGUGCAUUCUAAGAUGAACAUAUUUGGGAAAAAAAUGUUCACUUUAAAGACAUAAAAUGAGUAAAUGACUGGAGAUAUGUUGCAAAAUGAAUCACUGUCUUAUUAAUCUAUAGAAAAAGUUACAAGCUUUUGAUCAAAAAUAUGACUUACAGAUUGGGUUUUUAGAAAAAGUGAAUAGUUAAGAAAUGUUUAAAUCAAGUAGAAAACAAUGAUUGAAUUUUUUGAGGUCCUUUUGGCUAUAAUUUAAGUGAUUGUUGUUUUUGGUAUGUCUUAUUAACAGAACUGUGAAAACCCGAAAUCAGAAAAAAUAUUUUGUAAUCAAUUUGCGAUUAAAAAGACCCUCUG